UACGGAGGGUGCAAGCGUUAUCCGGAUUCACUGGGUUUAAAGGGAGCGUAGGUGGGUUGGUAAGUCAGUGGUGAAAUCUCUGAGCUUAACUCGGAAACUGCCAUUGAUACUAUCAGUCUUGAAUAUUGUGGAGGUUAGCGGAAUAUGUCAUGUAGCGGUGAAAUGCUUAGAUAUGACAUAGAACACCAAUUGCGAAGGCAGCUGGCUACGCAUAUAUUGACACUGAGGCUCGAAAGCGUGGGGAUCAAACAGG
rnacentral:rRNA from 1 species